CAAAAGGCCCUUUUAAGGGCCAACCACUUUGUCUCUCAAAAGAGCU
rnacentral:ncRNA from 1 species